UCCAGACUCCUACGGGAGGCAGCAGUGGGGGAUAUUGCACAAUGGGGGGAACCCUGAUGCAGCGACGCCGCGUGGGUGAAGAAGUAUUUCGGUAUGUAAAGCCCUAUCGGCAGGGGAGAAAUUGGACGGUACCUGACUAAGAAGCCCCGGCUAACUACGUGCCCGCAGCCGCGGUAAUACAUAGGGGGCAAGCGUUAUCCGGAUUUAUUGGGUGUAAAGGGUGCGUAGACGGAGAAACAAGUUGGUUGUGAAAUCCCUCGGCUCAACUGAGGAACUGCAACCAAAACUAUUUCCCUUGAGUGUCGGAGAGGAAAGUGGAAUUCCUAGUGUAGCGGUGAAAUGCGUAGAUAUUAGGAGGAACACCAGUGGCGAAGGCGACUUUCUGGACGAUAACUGACGUUGAGGCACGAAAGUGUGGGGAGCAAACAGGAUUAGAUACCCCCGUA
rnacentral:rRNA from 1 species